CCGGAAUUCCAAAAAUGUUAAAUCUGAACGAGGGAAUUCCGGCCGUUUUGAAAUGAAACGUUAUAUAUCAGUUAAUAUAUCAGGUGCUAUGAAACACCGUCGUAUAUUUGGUUGUGACCGAAAAGAAACUAUCGAAAAAACUGUUGGCAUCAAAAAAUCAUAUAACCCCCAGAAUAAAUACCAAAAAAUUGAAAAUUACUAAGCUACAGCCAUUUUUUUUUCAAAAUUUUUUCAUCUGAUCAAUAUAUAGUGGAUAAACAGUUCACUUGCUGGAUUCUUCAGUCAAAAACAGUUAUUUCUGCUGGAUUCUUGAGGCACUGGAUGAAGGACAUGUAAAAGAAGACAGAAAAUCAUUCCACUAAUAAUUAGAGUUUACUUUUAAUCUAAAACAGCCUUCAAAUAGAGAAACUGUAAAACUUAGAGCUGAAAGAUAAGAGACAAGUAAAAAUUUUGAUACUGUGAAACAAGUAGCAAAUCUUCAAUCAAAAUUCAGAAAUGGAAAUAUUUUAAAAUUUGUACGGUAUACACAAACAAAAACAAAAUUGAAUAUUGUCAGCCAAAUAGGAAAAGUUGAACAACUAGGAAGUUUAAAACUUCUGUACUAAAAAAUAUAUGUGCAAUAAAUUGGUAAAUUUAAACAUUGUCUAUGAUGGCACUUGUAAUGAAGUGAAAAAAGUUUAUAGUAAUGUCAAAAUAUGUUCUUUGAGGCACAUUAUUGAACGAGAUUAAUUUGUGUAAUAACUCAAUUCUUUAUAGCACAUUUCUGUUCCUUCCAUGUUAAGUUUUUUGUAUUUGAUAUAAUCUUAGUUUCUUUAUAGCUUUAGAUAUUAGAAAAAGUGUCAAAAUAGAGUGAAUAUUGAACUCAUGACUAGACUCAGGUACUUAAUACCAGCCUGUGUGAUCUUUUUAUUUUUAUUUGUAAUUAUUCAAUUGAAUAAACUUUUUUUACUAAAAAAAAUUAUUUGUGCAAUGACUUGAUUUUAUGACACAUUUUUGUUCCUUCCAUUAUAAAUUUCUGUAUGUUUGAUAUAACCUUAGUCUCUUUAUAGCUUAAGAUAUUAGAAAAAGUGUCAAAAUAGAGUAAAUGUUAAACUCGUAACUAGGCCUAGGUAUUUAACACCAGCCUGCAUAGUAAAUAGUGAUCUUUUUUAUUUUCAUUUGUUAAUUAUUCAAUUGAAUAAACUUUUGUAUUAAAAAAAAUAUUUGUCCAAUAAAUUGAUAAAUAUAAAAUAUUGUUUCUAUAUGAUGACCACUAAUAGUGAGGUGAAAAAACAGGUAUAAACCUGUUAUGUUCAGUAAUGUCAAAUUAUGUUCAGUGAGGCACAUAAUUCAAGUUUACAUUUCAAGUUUUGCUGUUUUUAACAUGAUCUUAAUCUCUAAGGUAAUGAAGUUUUUUCUUCAAAAUGAAAGCCCUUAAGUUUAUAGCUUAAGAUAUUAGAAAAAAUG